GAUGAACGCUGGCGGCGUGCCUAAUACAUGCAAGUCGAGCGAACGGACGAGAAGCUUGCUUCUCUGAUGUUAGCGGCGGACGGGUGAGUAACACGUGGAUAACCUACCUAUAAGACUGGGAUAAUUUCGGGAAACCGGAGCUAAUACCGGAUAAUAUUUUGAACCGCAUGGUUCAAAAGUGAAAGACGGUCUUGCUGGCACUUAUAGAUGGAUCCGCGCUUGAUUAGCUAGUUGUGAAGGUAAAGGCUUACCAAGGCAACGAUGCAUAGCCGACCUGAGAGGGGGAUCGGCCACACUGGAGGUGAGACGCGGACCAGACUCCUACGGGACGGAGCAGUAGGGAAUCUUACGCAGUAGGCGAAAGCCUGACGGAGCAACGCCGCGUGAGUUAUGGAGGUCUUCGGAUCGUAAAACUCUGUUAUUAGGGAAAAACAUAUGUGUAAGUAACUGUGCACAUCUUGACGGUACCUAAUCAGAAAGCCACGGCUAACUACGUG
rnacentral:rRNA from 1 species